UACAGGCUUAACACAUGCAAGUCGAGGGGCUAGCAUGAACUUAGCUUGCUAAGUUUGAUGGCGACCGGCGCACGGGUGAGUAACACGUAUCCAACCUGCCGAUGACUCGGGGAUAGCCUUUCGAAAGAAAGAUUAAUACCCGAUGGCAUAGUUCUUCCGCAUGGUAGAACUAUUAAAGAACUUCGGUCAUCGAUGGGGAUGCGUUCCAUUAGGUUGUUGGCGGGGUAACGGCCCACCAAGCCUUCGAUGGAUAGGGGUUCUGAGAGGAAGGUCCCCCACAUUGGAACUGAGACACGGUCCAAACUCCUACGGGAGGCAGCAGUGAGGAAUAUUGGUCAAUGGACGAGAGUCUGAACCAGCCAAGUAGCGUGAAGGAUGACUGCCCUAUGGGUUGUAAACUUCUUUUGUACGGGAAUAAAGUGAGGCACGUGUGCCUGUUUGUAUGUACCGUAUGAAUAAGGAUCGGCUAACUCCGUGCCAGCAGCCGCGGUAAUACGGAGGAUCCGAGCGUUAUCCGGAUUUAUUGGGUUUAAAGGGAGCGUAGGCGGACGCUUAAGUCAGUUGUGAAAGUUUGCGGCUCAACCGUAAAAUUGCAGUUGAUACUGGGUGUCUUGAGUACAGUAGAGGCAGGCGGAAUUCGUGGUGUAGCGGUGAAAUGCUUAGAUAUCACGAAGAACUCCGAUUGCGAAGGCAGCCUGCUGGACUGUAACUGACGCUGAUGCUCGAAAGUGUGGGUAUCAAACAGGAUUAGAUACCCUGGUAGUCCACACAGUAAACGAUGAAUACUCGCUGUUUGCGAUAUACAGUAAGCGGCCAAGCGAAAGCGUUAAGUAUUCCACCUGGGGAGUACGCCGGCAACGGUGAAACUCAAAGGAAUUGACGGGGGCCCGCACAAGCGGAGGAACAUGUGGUUUAAUUCGAUGAUACGCGAGGAACCUUACCCGGGCUUAAAUUGCAUUUGAAUAUAUUGGAAACAGUAUAGCCGUAAGGCAAAUGUGAAGGUGCUGCAUGGUUGUCGUCAGCUCGUGCCGUGAGGUGUCGGCUUAAGUGCCAUAACGAGCGCAACCCUUAUCUUUAGUUACUAACAGGUCAUGCUGAGGACUCUAGAGAGACUGCCGUCGUAAGAUGUGAGGAAGGUGGGGAUGACGUCAAAUCAGCACGGCCCUUACGUCCGGGGCUACACACGUGUUACAAUGGGGGGUACAGAAGGCAGCUACCUGGUGACAGGAUGCUAAUCCCAAAAGCCUCUCUCAGUUCGGAUUGGAGUCUGCAACCCGACUCCAUGAAGCUGGAUUCGCUAGUAAUCGCGCAUCAGCCACGGCGCGGUGAAUACGUUCCCGGGC
rnacentral:rRNA from 1 species